rnacentral:rRNA from 1 species
AUUGAACGCUGGCGGAAUGCUUUACACAUGCAAGUCGAACGGUAGAGGGGGCAACCCCCUUGAGAGUGGCGAACGGGUGAGUAAUAUAUCGGAACGUGCCCAGUCGUGGGGGAUAACGUAGCGAAAGUUACGCUAAUACCGCAUACGAUCUACGGAUGAAAGCGGGGGACUCGCAAGAGCCUCGCGCGAUUGGAGCGGCCGAUAUCAGAUUAGGUAGUUGGUGGGGUAAAGGCUCACCAAGCCAACGAUCUGUAGCUGGUCUGAGAGGACGGACCAGCCACACUGGAACUGAGACACGGUCCAGACUCCUACGGGAGGCAGCAGUGGGGAAUUUUGGACAAUGGACGCAAGUCUGAUCCAGCCAUUCCGCGUGCAGGAUGAAAGGCCCUCGGGUUGUAAACUGCUUUUGUACGGACGAAAAGGUUUCCAUUAAUACUGGGAGCUCAUGACGGUACCGUAAGAAUAAGCACCGGCUAACUACGUG